UCAAGCCUGCAACGGCAACCCCCUUUGGGUCUCCUCCCUUUGUAUGGGAGCUCUGUUUUCACUCUAUUUCACUCUAUUAAAUCUUGCAACUGCACUCUUCUGGUCCAUGUUUGUUACAGCUCGAGCUGAGCUUUCACUCACCGUCCACCACUGCUGUUUGCUGCCGUCGCAGACCUGCCGCUGACUCCCAUCCCUCCGGAUCCGGCAGGGUGUCCACUGUGCUUCUGAUCCAGCGAGGCGCCCAUUGCUGCUCCUGAUUGGGCUAAAGGCUUGCCGUUGUUCCUGCACGGCUAAGUGCCCGGGUUCGUCCUAAUCAAGCUAAACAGUAGUCACUGGGUUCCACGGUUCUCUUCCGUGACCCACGGCUUCUGACAGAGCUAUAACACUCACCACAUGGCCCAAGAUUCCAUUCCUUGGAAUCUGUGAGGCCAAGAACCCCAGGUUAGAGAACCUGAGGCUUGCCACCAUCUUAGAAGCGGCUUGCCACCAUCUUGGAAGUGGCUCGCCACCAUUUUGGCAACCAGGAAGGGACCUCCAAAGCGGGAGAAAGCAUUUAUGGUGAGGAGAAAAGCAGCUGGUAUCACACUCUACCCAAGUCCCAAAAGCAGGUUCACAUAACUCCUGUCUUCAUUAUCUGAUAUCCGUAUGAAGAAUGUAAGAUAGAAAAAAACAUUAGCAUUUGAGAGGAUUGAAAGAGAAGCAUUCUCAGCAGAGCCAAGAUUCACUUAGAACAAAAGGUCUGCAGGUGUACCCAACAGCUCCGAAGAGACAGCGACCAUCAAGAACAGGCCAAGAUGACGAUGGCAGUUUUGUCGAAAAGAGAAGGGGGAAAUGUGGGGAAAAGCAAGAGAGAUCAGAUUGUUACUGUGUCUGUGUAGAAAGAAGUAGACAUAGGAGACUCCAUUUUCUUAUGUACUAGGAGAAAUUCUUCUGCCUUGAGAUUCUGUUAAUCUAUGACCUUACCUCCAACCCCGUGCUCUCUGAAACAUGUGCUGUGUCAACUCAGAGUUGAAUGGAUUAAGGGCAGUGCAAGAUGUGCUUUGUUAAACAGAUGCUUGAAGGCAGCAUGCUCCUUAAGAGUCAUCACCAGGACUUUCUUAUAAGCUAAUUAACAAAUUUGUACAUGGUUAACAAUUGUUUACAUUAAAUUCUAUUGGUAAAGUAA
ensembl:lncRNA MIR548XHG MIR548X host gene